AUUGAACGCUGGCGGCAUGCCUUACACAUGCAAGUCGAACGGUAACAGGUUAAGCUGACGAGUGGCGAACGGGUGAGUAAUGUAUCGGAACGUGCGCAGUCGUGGGGGAUAACUGCUCGAAAGAGCAGCUAAUACCGCAUACGACCUGAGGGUGAAAACGGGGGAUGGCAAGACCUCGCUCGAUUGGAGCGGCCGCUAUCAGAUUAGGUAGUUGGUGGGGUAAAGGCCUACCAAGCCUACGAUCUGUAGCUGGUAUGAGAGGACGACCAGCCACACUGGGACUGAGACACGGCCCAGACUCCUACGGGAGGCAGCAGUGGGGAAUUUUGGACAAGGGACGCAAGUCUGAUCCAGCCAUGCCGCGUGCGGGAAGAAGGCCUUCGGGUUGUAAACCGCUUUUGUCAGGGAAGAAAAGGUUCUGGUUAAUACCUGGGACUCAUGACGGUACCUGAAGAAUAAGCACCGGCUAACUACGUGCCAGCCGCCGCGGUAAAAC
rnacentral:rRNA from 1 species